AGAGUUUGAUCCUGGCUCAGAGCGAACGCUUGCGGCGGGCUUAACACAUGCAAGUCGAGCGCUAGUCUUCGGACUAGAGCGGCGAACGGGUGAGUAACACGUGGGUUACCUACCCUUUGGUGGGGGAUGACCAAGGGAAACCUUGGCUAAUACCGCAUACGCCCUACGGGGGAAAGUCUUCGGACGCCAGAGGAUGGGCCCGCGGCCCAUUAUUUAGUCCUAGUUGGUGAGGUAACGGCUCACCAAGGCUGCGAUCAGUAGCCGGCCUGAGAGGGUGAACGGCCACACUGGAACUGAGACACGGUCCAGACUCCUACGGGAGGCAGCAGUGGGGAAUUUUGCGCAAUGGGCGAAAGCCUGACGCAGCAACGCCGCGUGGAGGAUGAAGGCCUUCGGGUCGUAAACUCCUGUCAGUGGGGAAGAAUGCUUCGGUUUGACUGUACCCGCUGAGGAAGCCACGGCUAACUCCGUGCCAGCAGCCGCGGUAAUACGGAGGUGGCAAGCGUUGUUCGGAAUUACUGGGCGUAAAGGGCGCGUAGGCGGCUUGGCAAGUCAGAUGUGAAAUCCCCGAGCUUAACUUGGGAAUUGCAUCUGAAACUGUCGAGCUUGAGUCCUGGAGGGGAUAGCGGAAUUCCCAGUGUAGCGGUGAAAUGCGUAGAUAUUGGGAGGAACACCUGCGGCGAAGGCGGCUAUCUGGACAGUGACUGACGCUGAGGCGCGAAAGCUAGGGGAGCGAACGGGAUUAGAUACCCCGGUAGUCCUAGCCGUAAACGAUGGGCACUUGGUGUUGGGGGUAUUGAGUCCCCCGGUGCCGGAGUUAACACGUUAAGUGCCCCGCCUGGGGAGUACGGUCGCAAGGCUAAAACUCAAAGGAAUUGACGG
rnacentral:rRNA from 1 species